rnacentral:lncRNA from 1 species
AUAAAAUCAGAAUUAAUUUUUUAAUCCUUUUUUUAUAGUUUUAUUUAAAUCACUUUGGUUUGACAUCUACACAUGUCACAUAGGCAUAAUUAGAUCCUGAUAUCUAUAUAUGAUGAAGAUACUCAAGGGAUUAAAUGACCACUGCCCUAGCACGUAAGGCUUAUGAGCAGGUUAUAGAUAUAGACUGGAAUGGGGCGGACCUAGUUAGACCUCUUCAUGAUUGUUUAGGACUCACUACCAUAGAAGCUAUACAUUUGGAAAAGAUGAAAUGCUCCCAUGACGUGAUCAAUGAUAAUGAUCACCUCUUAUUUCCUCCUUCUUGGAAGUGGUGUGCAACCAACAACCUGUAGACAAAUUAUGACUU